rnacentral:rRNA from 1 species
UACGGAGGGUGCGAGCGUUAUCCGGAUUCACUGGGUUUAAAGGGCGCGUAGGCGGCCUGUUAAGUCAGACGUGAAAUCCCUCGGCUCAACCGGGGAACUGCGUCUGAUACUGGCGGGCUUGAAUUCGGGAGAGGGAUGUGGAAUUCCAGGUGUAGCGGUGAAAUGCGUAGAUAUCUGGAGGAACACCGGUGGCGAAGGCGGCUCACUGGUCCAUUACUGACGCUGAGGUGCGAAAGCGCGGGGAGCAAACAGG